rnacentral:rRNA from 1 species
UGGGGAAUUUUGGACAAUGGGGGAAACCCUGAUCCAGCCAUCCCGCGUGUGCGAUGAAGGCCUUCGGGUUGUAAAGCACUUUUGGCAGGAAAGAAACGUCAUGGGUUAAUACCCCGUGAAACUGACGGUACCUGCAGAAUAAGCACCGGCUAACUACGUGCCAGCAGCCGCGGUAAUACGUAGGGUGCAAGCGUUAAUCGGAAUUACUGGGCGUAAAGCGUGCGCAGGCGGUUCGGAAAGAAAGAUGUGAAAUCCCAGGGCUCAACUUUGGAACUGCAUUUUUAACGAGCGGGCUAGAGUGUGUCAGAGGGAGGUGGAAUUCCGCGUGUAGCAGUGAAAUGCGUAGAUAUGCGGAGGAACACCGAUGGCGAAGGCAGCCUCCUGGGAUAACACUAACGCUCAUGCACGAAAGCGUGGGGAGCAAACAGG